GUGGAGUGAGGUGAUCCAUUUUGAACUAGCUGUAGUUUUUCUUACAUGUAUGUAGUAUAAAGGGAAUGAAAUAUAAUCAGAACGACUAGUAAUAAAAGUAUUUCAGCAUCAUCAAAAAAAGGUCUGAAAAGGCUGUUUGAAUUCAAAUGAGAAUUCAAAUUUAAAUAAGAAUCUACUGAAUGUAAAUGUUUCUGUCUAUAUGUGGUUAUAAUUAUGCCAUCAUUGUUUAUUGGCUGCAGUUGGAUUCCAGUAAAAAUGAAACAGUUUGAUACUUUUAGUUCUGUUCCUCUUAUCACACGAGAUGGACGACAGGAGCUGUGCUGCAGUCUUACUUUGGGCCACGUCGCUCAUUUACUCCUUUAUUAUCUCUCGCUGUUUUAAAUAAACUCAACUGAAGGUAUUUGACUGUUCAAAUAAGAGUGGUGCCACUCUGAAGGCUUGGCCGGGGUCUCGCUCUCCUUUAUAAAAAAACAGCUCUUUCUGUGUUCACCGCACCGUCUCUCUCUGACACCAGGAAGAAAACCGAGGAAGAACUUCAGAGCUCAGACAUCCGACAAAGCAGGUAAGAGCUCCUCUACUCGGGAACAGCAACGGGAUUUUGGUAUUAAAACUUGUUUUUCAGCUUUAAAGAGGAAGUUUGAAGGAAAGAGACUUUGAAUACAAUCAUAGAGUAACAGGGUCCAACAGACUUUAGUUUUGAAAUGAGAAAACCAUUCAAAAACAUGUAAACGUUUUUUUAUAAGUCAUUUUCUGUUUUUAAAAACAGAAAAAGUUCUGAGCUCUUUGUUUCUUGUGCACGCUGUGACGAUGAACUGAACCUGUGUGCAGAUGGCUGGACUGUGGUGGAUGACUGUGACGCUGGUAUUCCUGCUGUCUGCUGGAAGUGUUCUGGCUGACGCUAACAAGGAGAAAGAAACAGUAGACUUGAUGAAGGUGUUGAUGAGAGAACACAUAAAAGAUAAGGCUGCAAGCAAUAAGGACCCUCAACAUCCUCACAAUGGUGAAUAUAUAUAUAUAUACGCACAUGUAUAAAUAUAUAUAAUAUAUAUAUAAAUAUAUAAAUAAAGAGAGAGAGAGAGAGAGAGAGAGAGAGAGAGAGAGAGAGAGAUGCCAUUCAUCUAGAGAUGCAAAUAAAGGCAGUGAGGGUGAUAUCAUUGGCAAAAAAAAGGGCAAAGAUGGACCCACACUUUUACACAUUCAUUUUAAAGCAGACAGAAAUAUUUGGACAUAUUUGGACAUCUAAAAUCAGUCCUGACUGACCGACAUGACGGGUAGCAACAGCAAUAUGGUGCAUCCUGACAGGGAAUGUUGACAGUGUUGUAUACCUCACUCUCACUACUCGUCCUAUCUGCUAUUCUAACUGUACCUCCUCUUCAGGUGCAGCUGCUCCGGCCUGAUGGUCCCAGUCUCUCUCUCUGUAAAGGGGGCAGAAAGCUUCAAAGUGCUUUGAGUCACAUUUGAUUAAAAAUGAAAUAAAAAGUUGAAUUGCUUCCUUUUGACUGCUUUUGAAUUAUUCUGUUGACCUGCUGUUAAAAACAGACAAGCCCUGCUAUUGGAGUUGUGUUUGUAAUGGUUUUAAGUCCAAUAUUCAUCAGCUGCUGUAGAUGUUCCAGAGUCUCUAACUGUGUCUGUGCUGUUUGCUGCUGCGGCGCGUCAGCGACCAAACCAAAAAUCUGAGCUGAGCUGCAGAAGUGAUAACAUUGAGCAUAUUUAGAUAUUCUGGAAUAUCUAAUGAGGUAGAAGGAGUAGAUAGGAGAGCAAGUGGGUCGAUGGGAGUUUGGGUCACAAAUACAUUUUCACAAAUACAUUUGCUGAACUUCUUCCUCCAGCUAAAUGCACUAAUUUUACUUCAUUUAUAAAAUAUUUAAAAUGUGUUAUUGUUUUAUGAUGAUGAAGUUCUUAUUCAUCAAACGUAUAUCUCUUCAAUAUGGCAGCUUUUGUUAAAAUGUGACGUGAUGCAUAGAUUUGCUCUUCUCGCUCUGAGUUUGUCUUUUUAAAAAGUGGAUCCCCACAAAAAAAGGGUGCACUGGAAUAGAUGACUUUAAGGAUUUUAAUGUGGAGAUUAUACUUUCAGAAAACACAUAUCAGACACACGUUAUUGUUCCAAGCUGAUCAUAUGUGUCUUUCCUGGAUCUUUAAACAUGUGAAGCUAGAUUAAAUGAUGAUAAAUAUUGUUUCAAUAAUUAAGUGAGGAGCAAGAAUGGAGGAGAUCAGAGCUUAAUACAGCUUAAUCUACCAAUUACUUUCUUGAUUAAUUGAUCGCCUGUAUGAUAUUGAUCGUUGUAAAAUCAUAAUAUCCAACAGCAACAUCUUCAAAUGUCUUCUUCAGUCUGACCAACAAUAUAAAACUUGUGCCUGGAGAAGAGGCUAUACUCUUAAUUUCUGCCCCAAUAUUUUUUAAGUCACCUGUCCAGCAAAGGACAAACACCCUUUUGUUACUAUCAGUAUGACAUUAACAUUAGCCAGAGGUGAGAGAUGCGAGAGAACCUUCAUAAUGAGGCAUUCAGUGAACUAUUCCUUAUUCCUUAAUCCAUGAGAAUUGUUAGGGGGAAAUCCUAGGGGGGAAAGGAGUUCUGCGUGCAGAACACUACUGAAUGAUGGAGGGGUAUUUAGAAGUAGGUAUACACCGGGUACCUGAGUAUACCUGAGUAUCGACUGAUCAAUUAAUUGCAGCUGCAGUAGAUAAUGAAUAUUGUUAGGACUUUUAGCUUUUUAUAAAGAGAAAAACAAAGAGUUUAAACUCGUGAUAAAAGAUCCCUUUCAGACACAUUUUAG
rnacentral:lncRNA from 15 species